GACGAACGCUGGCGGCGUGCCUAAUACAUGCAAGUAGAACGCACAGUUUAUACCGUAGCUUGCUACACCAUAGAUUGUGAGUUGCGAACGGGUGAGUAACGCGUAGGUAACCUGCCUGGUAGCGGGGGAUAACUAUUGGAAACGAUAGCUAAUACCGCAUAAUAUUAAUUAUUGCAUGAUAAUUAAUUGAAAGGUGCAAUUGCACCACUACCAGAUGGACCUGCGUUGUAUUAGCUAGUAGGUGAGGUAACGGCUCACCUAGGCGACGAUACAUAGCCGACCUGAGAGGGUGAUCGGCCACACUGGGACUGAGACACGGCCCAGACUCCUACGGGAGGCAGCAGUAGGGAAUCUUCGGCAAUGGACGAAAGUCUGACCGAGCAACGCCGCGUGAGUGAAGAAGGUUUUCGGAUCGUAAAGCUCUGUUGUAAGAGAAGAACGGGUGUGAGAGUGGAAAGUUCACACUGUGACGGUAUCUUACCAGAAAGGGACGGCUAACUACGUG
rnacentral:rRNA from 1 species